GCACAGAAAGAAAGAAAGAAAGAAGACUACAGGAAAUAAAUAAGUGCAAAGCGGGCUUUCGAGCCCAUUGUCAACCGAUCGACGCAAAUGAAAGGCCCUUUGCCUUUUUUUCUUUUUUUCUCAGUCCGAGGUAUGUGCACCCUGACCAACGCUCUUGUGAUGUUUUCCGCCUAAGAAAUAGGCUGGCAAUGGUGAUGGUGAAAUCAAGGUGGCAACGACGGACACUGAAUUAAUUCAUUUUGUUUGUUUGUUUAUU
rnacentral:ribozyme from 11 species